UAUCCAUAGAUGAUUUCCUGCCCCUGCGCUUAGAACUCGAUCUCCUCUUCUUCCUUGAUUCAGAAUCAUUUGAUUCAGAUUCAGACUCAGACUCAGACUCGGAUUCUGAAUCGUUGCUCACAGAUUUCCCAGACUCAGAUUCUGAUACACCCUUUCCAUCACGCGCUUUUCCUUUCUCUUUCUCGCUAAAGUCAAUCUUCUCUUCGUCUUCCCCAUACUUCUCCGAAAUCUCAUCUGGUUUGCCUUCCAAAUCUUCUUCUUCGUUCUCAUCCCUGAGUGGACUAGGGGUAAGCGUCCAAAUACAAUAUUUCGCGAUGUUCUUCCUCAUCUUCUGCCUCUUCAGCCUCCUCCGCUCUUCAAAGCUCAAACCCUUCAACUCCUCAUCGGAUUCUGAUUCGGAGUUCCUUCCAUUACGAGAGCCGCCGCGAUCGAGGUAUGCCCGCCCGCUGCCGAACUUUUUUGGCAGAGAAUCUAGGUUUUUCCUGGGCCUAGGGCUUGGGCUUCUUCUUCCAGGGCUUG
rnacentral:misc_RNA from 1 species